rnacentral:lncRNA from 1 species
GUAAGUCUAGUAGUCUGUGGAUACAUAUUGUUAUUUACCACAGUUAUGUGUGGGUGUGGUGUUUUCAACCGUCUGCUCGGGGGUGAAAACUGUGUCCUCGUUAGCAUCAAGGUGUAUCAGAAACGUUGUACCUUCCAUCUCCUCUUUACUCUCCUCUGCCCUUGCUAUCACUUCAGGGAUUAAGAAGACAAGAUGGAGGGUAAUUUCUGGAUGACAACGAUCCUCCUGUCCUUCUGUCUUUCGGGUCAUAUGUUUACUGAACUCUCCCAACGUCCCAACUGCAAAGACAGACCUCUGUCCGUCCAGCGUGAAUCUUUCCACAGCAGAGUGUCCAUCUCCUGCCCCGACAAGACAGGAGAAGAUAUGAGAUUCCACCUCUCUUGGAACGAGACCCUCGUUCACACCACAGUGCUCAAGAUUAACCAGAUUCACACCAGAAACAACCAAUCAGACACCUGGAUCCAGUUCUACCUAGCUGAACAGAACCAGAACCACAAUCUACCCAACCGCUAUGUGUUCACGGUCAAUGGAUCAGGAAUGUAUACCUGUAGAGCGGACAAGCUGUGGCCACCCCCUUAUGAAGAGGACUAUGUUCACACUCUACUGAUUGCAGAGAAGCAGUGUCUGAAACCCCACUAUCCGCUAGCCAAUCAGAGUUGUGUGGAGGAUCCUAAACCCCUCCUUCUGUGUGUGUUAUUGGUUGGAUGUGGGGCGCUACUCUUCUACAGCACCAUCAUCACCUUCGUCGUCGUCCUCACCUGGAGGAAGCUGAAGAAGGAAAUUUCUGCUCAGAGUACAUACUUGAACAUAAAGCUAGGAGAGAAGAGAGUUCCUCAGAGAGUCCAGUAUCCAGUCACCGGAAGGUUCUGAUGCUGAUCUUCCUAAGGCUGUGCGUGCACUACUUUUGUGCACAAUAUAGGGAAUAGGCACCCUAAUCUGGGACUUGGCCGAUUGGCUCUUCAAUCAAUCUACUGACGCAUUCAAUGCAUUAUAACUUCGGGAAAAUCAGGAUCAUUAGGACAUGAUCAGAAUACAUGAUUACGUCUCAUACUGCAUCAGAACAGCGUCGUACUGCAUCAGAACAGCUUCGUACUGCAUCAGAACAGCUUCAUACUGCAUCAGAACAGCUUCAUACUGCAUUAGAACAGGUCAUACUGCAUCAGAACAGCUUCAUACUGCAUUAGAACAGUGUCAUACUGCAUCAGAACAGCUUCAUACUGCAUCAGAACAGCUUCAUACUGCAUCAGAACAGCUUCAUAUUGCAUUAGAACAGGUCAUACUGCAUCAGAACAGCUUCAUACUGCAUCAGAACAGCUUUAUAAUGCAUUAUCAGCUUCAUACUGCAUUAGAACAGGUCAUACUGCAUCAGAACAGUGUCAUACUGCAUCAGAACAGUGCCAUACUGCAUCAGAACAGCUUUAUACUGCAUCAGAACAGGUCAUACUGCAUCAGAACAGCUUCGUACUGCAUCAGAACAGCUUCAUACUGCAUCAGAACAGCUUCAUACUGCAUUAGAACAGGUCAUACUGCAUCAGAACAGCUUCAUACUGCAUUAGAACAGUGUCAUACUGCAUCAGAACAGCUUCAUACUGCAUUAGAACAGGUCAUACUGCAUCAGAACAGCUUCAUACUGCAUUAGAACAGUGUCAUACUGCAUCAGAACAGCUUCAUACUGCAUCAGAACAGCUUCAUACUGCAUCAGAACAGCUUCAUAUUGCAUUAGAACAGGUCAUACUGCAUCAGAACAGCUUCAUACUGCAUCAGAACAGCUUUAUAAUGCAUUAUCAGCUUCAUACUGCAUUAGAACAGGUCAUACUGCAUCAGAACAGUGUCAUACUGCAUCAGAACAGUGUCAUACUGCAUCAGAACAGCUUUAUACUGCAUCAGAACAGGUCAUACUGCAUCAGAACAGCUUCGUACUGCAUCAGAACAGCUUCAUACUGCAUCAGAACAGCUUUAUACUGCAUCAGAACAGUGUCAUACUGCAUCAGAAUAGUGUCAUACUGCAUCAGAACAGCUUUAUACUGCAUCAGAACAGUGUCAUACUGCAUCAGAAUAGUGUCAUACUGCAUCAGAACAGCUUUAUACUGCAUCAGAACAGGUCAUACUGCAUCAGAACAGCUUCGUACUGCAUCAGAACAGCUUCGUACUGCAUCAGAACAGCUUCAUAAUACAUUAUUCCUACAGGCUCUAAGUAAAGUUGUACCAAUCAGGAUGUUUGUAUUAAACGCUACACUCUGUAUAAUCUCUGUGUUGUUCCAUAACAAUGACUUCCCUGCCUAUUGUUUAAUGCUCUGUAUGAAGCUGUUUGUGUUUCAAAAGUAAAGGAAGGAGAAUGUUCAUGUGAGUUUCACGUUACGCCCUCACCACACGUUCUUCCUGACAUGCUAGGGUUUCACGCUCAAAUGGCACCCUAUUCCCUAUGUAGUGCACUACUGUUGACCAGGGUCCAUAUGGGCUCUGGUCUAAAGUAGUGCACUAUAAUAUAAGGAAUAGGGUGACAUUUGGGACACCUCCGAGACAUUUUUCACGCCUAUUCUAGGAAACAGUUCAAAUCUUAUCAAAGAUCAUGUCUACGAUUCAUUACUGAGCAGUUUCACACAACCCCACAUACUGUAAGCACACAUAAAUAUUGAAUGCCGUUGGUAAAUAUGUGGAUAAUCCCUAAAUAAAAUGGCUGGUUCUAUAAAUAGGGCACUACUUUUGUCCAGGGCCCAUAAGGGAAUAAGGGACAUUUCAGACAAACCCCUUUAUCUGACAGUUGUGGCUGCUUUGCGUGAUGUAUUGUUGUCUCUACCUUCUUGCCCUUUGUGCUGUUGUCUGUGGCCCAAUAAUGUUUGUACCAUGUUUUGUGCUGCUACCAUGUUGUGUUGCUGUCAUGUUGUGUUUCUACCAUGUUGUGUUGCUACCAUGCUGUGUUGUUACCAUGCUGUGUUUCUACCAUGUUGUGUUUCUACCAUGUUGUGUUGCUACCAUGUUGUGUUGCUACCAUGCUGUGUUGCUACCAUGCUGUGUUGUCAUGUUGUGCUGCUACCAUGCUGUGUUGUCAUGUUGUGCUGCUACCAUGUUGUGUUGCUACCAUGCUGUGUUGUCAUGCUGUGUUGUCAUGUUGUGUUGCUACCAUGUUGUAUUGUCAUGUUGUGUUGCUGCCAUGCUAUGUUGCUACCAUGUUGUGUUGCUACCAUGCUGUGUUGUCAUGUUGUGCUGCUACCAUGUUGUGUUGCUACCAUGCUGUGUUGUCAUGUUGUGUUGCUACCAUGCAGUGUUGUCAUGUUGUGUUGCUACCAUGUUGUGUUUCUACCAUGCUGUGUUGCUACCAUGCUGUGUUGUCAUGUUGUGUUUCUACCAUGUUGUGAUGCUACCAUGUUGUGUUUCUACUAUGCUGUGUUGCUACCAUGUUGUGUUGUCAUGUUGUGUUGCUACCAUGUUGUGUUUCUACCAUGUUGUGUUGCUACCAUGCUGUGUUAUCAUGUUGUGUUGCUACCAUGUUGUGUUUCUACCAUGUUGUGUUUCUACCAUGUUGUGUUGCUACCAUGCUGUGUUGUCAUGUUGUGUUGCUGCCAUGUUGUGUUUCUACCAUGUUGUGAUGCUACCAUGCUGUGUUGUCAUGUUGUGCUACUACCAUGUUGUGUUGCUACCAUGCUGUGUUGUCAUGUUGUGUUGCUACCAUGCUGUGUUGUCAUGUUGUGUUGCUACCAUGUUGUGUUGCUACCAUGCUGUGUUGUCAUGUUGUGUUUCUACCAUGUUGUGUUGUCAUGUUGUGUUGUCAUGUUGUGUUUCUACCAUGUUGUGUUGUCAUGUUGUGUUGCUACUAUGCUGUGUUUCUACCAUGUUGUGUUGCUACCAUGCUGUGUUGUCAUGUUGUGUUUCUACCAUGUUGUGUUUCUACCAUGUUGUGUUGCUACCAUGUUGUGUUUCUACCCCGCUGUGUUGUCAUGUUGUGUUGCUACAAUGUUGUGUUUCUACCAUGCUGUGUUGCUACCAUGCUGUGUUUCUACCAUGCUGUGUUGCUACCAUGUUGUGUUUCUACCAUGUUGUGAUGCUACCAUGUUGUCUGCUACCAUGUUGUGUUUCUACCAUGCUGUGCUACUACCAGGUUGUGUUGUCAUGUUGUGUUUCUACCAUGUUGUGUUGCUACCAUCCACCUGGGCUACCAUGUUGUGUUUCUACCAUGCUGUGUUCCUACCAUGCUGUGUUUCUACCAUGUUGUGUUGCUACCAUGUUGUGUUUCUACCAUGUUGUGUUUCUACCAUGCUGUGUUGUCAUGUUGUGUUGCUACCAUGUUGUGUUGCUACCAUGUUGUGUUUCUACCAUGUUGUGUUGCUACCAUGCUGUGUUGUCAUGUUGUGAUGCUGCCAUGUUGUGUUGCUCCCAUGUUGUGUUGCUACCAUGCUGUGUUGUCAUGUUGUGCUGCUACCAUGUUGUGCUGCUACCAUGCUGUGUUGUCAUGUUGUGUUUCUACCAUGCUGUGUUGUCAUGUUGUGUUGCUACCAUGCUGUGUUGUCAUGUUGUGUUUCUACCAUGUUGUGUUGUCAUGUUGUGUUGCUACCAUGUUGUGUUGUCAUGUUGUGUUUCUACCAUGUUGUGUUUUCAUGUUGUGUUGCUACCAUGCUGUGUUCCUACCAUGUUGUGUUGCUACCAUGCUGUGUUGUCAUGUUGUGUUUCUACCAUGUUGUGUUUCUACCAUGUUGUGUUGCUACCAUGUUGUGUUUCUACCAUGCUGUGUUGUCAUGUUGUGUUGUGUUGCUACCAUGUUGUGUUUCUACCAUGCUGUGUUGCUACCAUGCUGUGUUUCUACCAUGUUGUGUUUCUACCAUGUUGUGUUGCUACCAUGUUGUGUUGCUACCAUGCUGUGUUGUCAUGUUGUGUUGCUGCCAUGUUGUGUUGCUACCAUGUUGUGUUGCUACCAUGCUGUGUUGUCAUGUUGUGCUGCUACCAUGUUGUGUUGCUACCAUGCUGUGUUGUCAUGUUGUGUUGCUACCAUGCUGUGUUGCUACCAUGUUGUGUUGUCAUGUUGUGUUUCUACCAUGUUGUGUUGUCAUGUUGUGUUUCUACCAUGUUUUGUUGUCAUGUUGUGUUGCUGCCAUGUUGUGUUGCUACCAUGUUGUGUUGCUACCAUGCUGUGUUGUCAUGUUGUGCUGCUACCAUGUUGUGUUGCUACCAUGCUGUGUUGUCAUGUUGUGUUGCUACCAUGCUGUGUUGUCAUGUUGUGUUGCUACCAUGCUGUGUUGUCAUGUUGUGUUUCUACCAUGUUGUGUUGUCAUGUUGUGUUUCUACCAUGUUGUGUUGUCAUGUUGUGUUUCUACCAUUGCUGUGUUGCUCAUGUUGUGUUGCUACCAUGUUGUGUUUCUAGCAUGUUGUGUUUCUACCAUGCUGUGUUGCUACCAUGUUGAUGCUACCAUGCUGUGUUUCUACCAUGCUGUGUUUCUACCAUGUUGUGUUUCUACCAUGUUGUGUUUCUACCAUGCUGUGUUUCUACCAUGCUGUGUUGUCAUGUUGUGUUGUUACCAUGUUGUGUUUCUACCAUGCUGUGUUGCUACCAUGUUGUGUUUCUACCAUGUUGUGUUGCUACCAUGUUGUGUUGCUACCAUGCUGUGUUGUCAUGUUGUGUUGCUGCCAUGUUGUGUUGCUACCAUGUUGUGUUGCUACCAUGCUGUGUUGUCAUGUUGUGCUGCUACCAUGUUGUGUUGCUACCAUGCUGUGUUGUCAUGUUGUGUUUCUACCAUGUUGUGUUGUCAUGUUGUGUUUCUACCAUGUUUUGUUGUCAUGUUGUGUUGCUGCCAUGUUGUGUUUCUACCAUGUUGUGUUGCUACCAUGCUGUGUUGUCAUGUUGUUCUGCUACCAUGUUGUGUUUCUACCAUGCUGUGUUGUCAUGUUGUGUUUCUACCAUGUUUUGUUGUCAUGUUGUGUUGCUGCCAUGUUGUGUUUCUACCAUGUUGUGUUGCUACCAUGCUGUGUUGUCAUGUUGUUCUGCUACCAUGUUGUGUUUCUACCAUGCUGUGUUGUCAUGUUGUGUUGCUACCAUGCUGUGUUGUCAUGUUGUGUUGCUACCAUGUUGUGUUGCUACCAUGCUGUGUUGUCAUGUUGUGUUUCUACCAUGUUGUGUUGUCAUGUUGUGUUUCUACCAUGUUGUGUUGUCAUGUUGUGUUUCUACCAUGUUGUGUUUCUACCAUGUUGUGUUUCUACCAUGUUGUGUUUCUACCAUGUUGUUUCUACCAUGCUGUGUUUCUACCAUGUUGUGUUUCUACCAUGUUGUGUUUCUACCAUGCUGUGUUUCUACCAUGUUGUGUUUCUACCAUGUUGUGUUGCUACCAUGUUGUGUUUCUACCAUGCUGUGUUGUCAUGUUGUGUUGCUACCAUGUUGUGUUGCUACCAUGUUGUGUUGCUAAUUUGAAUUGAGGGUGGGACCCUCAUUUUAAGGAGGGGGGUGUCACGGCUCCUCCUCUGCAGUGCAGGGGCGGUUCCCCCUGCAGGCAGAGGAGGGUCGUUAGUGAUUGGAGCCACCUGGGCUCAGGGUAUCUCUCUCUCUCUCUCUCUCUCUCUCUCUCUCUCUCUCUCUCUCUCUCACUCACUCACUCACUCACCAAGAAAACCAAAGUUAUGUUGGUCUGUUCCACUAGGAAAAGGCCAAAACAGCAUGGGAUACAAUUAAGUAUGGGAGGAGUACAAAUUGAAGAAGUGGCCAAACUAUUGGGAGUGCAGCUAGACAACUGCUUAUCAUGGUCAUCUCAAAUAACUAAUCUAUGUAAAAAAAAUAAUAUUAAAACAGCAUGUAUAAUCAGAAGGAUAGCUAUAUAUUUACCAGGAAACAUUCUUAAGCAAAUAACACAAGCUUUAAUUGAGAGUCAAGUGAACUACUGUUCAGUGGUCUGGGGAAAUGCAUCAUCAGGUGAAGUUAGGAGGUUUGCAGAUUGAACAGAACAAAGCAGCAAGGAUUGUUUUACGGUGGAGAUAUAUGGUUCUUCUGUUGCAGUCAUACGCAAAUGUCCUUGGUUGGUCAUCAAUGGACAAGAUAACUGAAAAAUAAAACAUGCUUAUUUUAUUUCAUAAUAUACAUCAUUUAAAACGGCCAAGUUCUAUUCACAACGGUAAUCAGUUGGUAAGAGACAGACGUUCCGUAAAUACCAGGAAUAGAUUGUCCGCCAUCGAUGCGUUAUCGGAAAAGAGAAAUGGGCAAAAUAACAUUUCGAUUUAGAGCAAUAAAGAAAUGGAAUAAAUUAACUGAGCAAAUCAGAAACCUUUUCAAUAUAUACCAUUUAAACAUUAUUUUAAAACAAUUUAAAUAUAAUACACAGAAAUGUUGUGGGAUUACAGUAGAUGAAGAAUCCAUAUUUUUUUUAGAUUGAUUACUUAUUGGUUUAUUACGUUAGUAUAUUAUGUAUGUUUUGUAAUAGUGUGUUAUAUGUGAAAAUGUGUUCGUAUAUAAAUUGUAUUUUAAUAUUUAAGGACUCUUGGAAGAUUAGUCCAAAUGGGGACUAAAAGAGAUCCAAAUCAAAUCUCUCUCUCUCUCUCUCUGUCUCUCUCUCUCUCCCUCCUCUCUCUCUCUCUCUGUCU